rnacentral:rRNA from 1 species
UUCUCUGGUUGAUCCUGCCGGCGGUCACCGCUCUUGGAAUCCGACUAAGCCAUGCGAGUCGAGAGGGUUCGGCCCUCGGCAUACUGCUCAGUAACACGUGGAUAACCUACCCUAGGAUGGGGGAUAAUCUCGGAAAACUGAGGAUAAUACCCCAUAGGUCUGGGAGGCUGGAAUGCAUCCAGACUGAAAACUCCGGUGUCCUAGGAUGGGUCUGCGGCCUAUCAGGUUGUAGUGAGUGUAAAGGACUCACUAGCCGACAACGGGUACGGGCCAUGGGAGUGGUAGCCCGGAGAUGGAUUCUGAGGCACGAAUCCAGGCCCUACGGGGCGCAGCAGGCGCGAAAACUUCGCAAUGUGCGCAAGCGCGAUGAGGGGAUUCCAAGUGCAUGCACUUAGUGUAUGCUGUUUUCCAGUCUAAAUAGCUGGGAGAGUAAGGGCUGGGUAAGACUGGUGCCAGCCGCCGCGGUAAUACCAGCGGCCCUAGUGGUGAUCGUUAUUAUUGGGCCUAAAGCGUCCGUAGCCGGCUCGGUAAAUCUCUGGGUAAAUCGAUAGGCUUAACCUAUCGAAUUCUGGGGAGACUGCCGGGCUUGGGAUCGGGAGAGGUCGGAGGUACUCCAGGGGUAGGGGUGAAAUCCUGUAAUCCUUGGGGGACCACCGGUGGCGAAGGCGUCCGACCAGAACGAGUCCGACGGUAAGGGACGAAGCCCUGGGGCGCAAACCGGAUUAGAUACCCGGGUAGUCCAGGGUGUAAACGCUGUGCGCUUGGUGUUGGGGGUCCUACGAGGGCAUCCAGUGCCGGAGAGAAGUUGUUAAGCGCACCGCCUGGGGAGUACGGUCGCAAGACUGAAACUUAAAGGAAUUGGCGGG